GCCCCUCAGUCAGCAACAAGGACGUUUCUUCAAAAUAGGGUAUUAACAAUGGUUAGAGAAAACAUCCAGGCUUAUGUGGGCUAUUUUAAGGCUUAAAUAGCAUGGAGAAAGUUUCAAAAGGAACCAUGCAGACUGACUGGUAGGAAAUAGCUCAAACAUGGUACCUUCAUCGCCUCACUGCCACUGUGCAAUGGCUAAAACAAGCAACUAAAGACAGCAGAGUCUGUGGGAGAUCGUUAUAUGAUGUCAAGGUUUCUGAAGCAUAAGCCCAACAGUUAAUCUACACACCACCCCAUGUGGUUAUUGCCCGUGCCAAGACUUUGAUCCUCAGCACAUUUUGAUGGAAGAACAGCCAAGCCCUGACCUGUACUCACAAGAUGCCCAGAUGAACUCUUCUCCCCCAGGAAACAACUGCUUAUACCUUGCAGAGGAAAUUGUUCAGUGCUAAAGUGAAUCAAAAUGCUGCAGCAUAAGUCUGUUCAUGUGAUAAACAUGACUUUUGUGUUAAACAUGUUUUUUUUUCUCUCUGUAUGUAGAGAAAGCUAGGAAGAUUUCAUCAUGUAAAUGAUGCGUACGGGACUUGGUCAUCAUGUCUCACUCCCUGUAAUCUGGGAGGCUGCAGUUGAGGUCACACUGGGCCAAAAACACUUCAGACUACACUAAUUCCAUCCCCUAUUCCCAAUUCCUCCGCCUCCGCCGCAUCUGCUCCCACGAUAAGACAUUCCACUCCUGCACAUCCCAGAUGUCCAAGUUCUUCAAGGACCUGCAACUUUCCCCCCACAGUGAUCGAGAACGCCCUUGACCGCGUCUCCCGUAUUUCCCGCAACACAUCCCUCACACACCGCCCCCGCCACAACCGCCCCAAGAGGAUCCCCCACGUUCUCACACACCACCCUACCAACCUCCGGAUACAACGCAUCAUCCUCCGACACUUUCGCCAUUUACAAUCCGACCCCACCACCCAAGACAU